rnacentral:rRNA from 1 species
GUCGAACGGCAGCACGGACUUCGGUCUGGUGGCGAGUGGCGAACGGGUGAGUAACAUAUCGGAACGUAUCCAGUAAUGGGGGAUAACUAAUCGAAAGGUUGGCUAAUACCGCAUACGCCCUACGGGGGAAAGCAGGGGAUCUUCGGACCUUGCGUUAAUGGAGCGGCUGAUAUCUGAUUAGCUAGUUGGUGAGGUAAAGGCUCACCAAGGCGACGAUCAGUAGCUGGUCUGAGAGGACGACCAGCCACACUGGAACUGAGACACGGUCCAGACUCCUACGGGAGGCAGCAGUGGGGAAUUUUGGACAAUGGGCGCAAGCCUGAUCCAGCCAUUCCGCGUGAGUGAAGAAGACCUUCGGGUUGUGAAGCUCUUUCGCAAGGGAAGAAAACUUACUUUCUAAUAAAGAGUGAGGUUGACGGUACCUUGAUAAGAAGCACCGGCUAACUACGUGCCAGCAGCCGCGGUAAUACGUAGGGUGCGAGCGUUAAUCGGAAUUACUGGGCGUAAAGCGUGCGCAGGCGGUUUUGUAAGUCAGAUGUGAAAUCCCCGAGCUCAACUUGGGAACUGCGUUUGAAACUACAAGACUAGAAUAUGUCAGAGGGGGGUAGAAUUCCACGUGUAGCAGUGAAAUGCGUAGAGAUGUGGAGGAAUACCAAUGGCGAAGGCAGCCCCCUGGGAUAAUAUUGACGCUCAUGCACGAAAGCGUGGGGAGCAAACAGGAUUAGAUACCCUGGUAGUCCACGCCCUAAA